rnacentral:ncRNA from 1 species
UAUUUCCUGCCGCCGGGUAGGAAAUCAGGCGUCGGAUUCUCUGUCGUUAGGCCAUUGAAGUCAGAGAAUUUGACGCCUCUUUGCU